rnacentral:rRNA from 1 species
CAGUAGCCGCGGUAAUACGGAGGAUCCAAGCGUUAUCCGGAUUUAUUGGGUUUAAAGGGUGCGUAGGUGGCCUGUUAAGUCAGGGGUGAAAGACGGUAGCUCAACUAUCGCAGUGCCCUUGAUACUGAUGGGCUUGAAUGAACUAGAGGUAGGCGGAAUGUGACAAGUAGCGGUGAAAUGCAUAGAUAUGUCACAGAACACCAAUUGCGAAGGCAGCUUACUAUGGUUUUAUUGACACUGAGGCACGAAAGCGUGGGGAUCAAACAGGAUUAGAUACCCGAGUAGUCCCUGUCUCUUAUAA